GUGAGGAAUAUUGGUCAAUGGGCGGGAGCCUGAACCAGCCAAGUCGCGUGAAGGAAGAAGGAUCUAUGGUUCGUAAACUUCUUUUGCAGGGGAAUAAAGUGCAGGACGUGUCCUGUUUUGUAUGUACCCUGAGAAUAAGGAUCGGCUAACUCCGUGCCAGCAGCCGCGGUAAUACGGAGGAUCCGAGCGUUAUCCGGAUUUAUUGGGUUUAAAGGGUGCGUAGGUGGUUUGAUAAGUCAGCGGUGAAAGUUUGCAGCUUAACUGUAAAAAUGCCGUUGAAACUGUCGGACUGGAGUGUAAAUGAGGUAGGCGGAAUGCGUGGUGUAGCGGUGAAAUGCAUAGAUAUCACGCAGAACUCCGAUUGCGAAGGCAGCUUACUAAGCUACAACUGACACUGAAGCACGAAAGCGUGGGGAUCAAACAGGAUUAGAUACCCGAGUAGUCC
rnacentral:rRNA from 1 species